AUGAACUUAUUCAUGAAGCUGGUAUAUGAAUAUCGCCUUUCUUGAAGCCUCAGCAUCCAAAAAGGUAUGAUUCCUUAGCAGGAUUUCGGGGUGUGUUGAACCAGCCUUGCCUUGGCAUUAUUCCUAUAAGAUAAGUGUUUCUUCACCUUUUGGGCUCAAAAUUCAUUCCAUUUGAUAUGCUUAACCUCAAAAGUCAAUCUACCUAUCACCAAUUUUCAACCAAUUUAUUGAGGAAUUUGACCAUCCAAUGUCCAUAUCUUGUGCUGCUGGAAACACUAGACUUUUUGUUAACAAGAAGUUAACCAAAAAAAGUUAACUUCUUGCUGGCAAAGGUCUACCUAUAACAAAAGAUAGAUCUUAUGUCACUGACAUUUCUUGGGAAGUUGUGGAUGAAGACACAUGAGAAGAGCUAGAUGAAGGCCUUGCCAGUAAAUUUCGCUAAAUAUUG
rnacentral:lncRNA from 1 species